GCGUCUUGGCGUGCGGGGCGCGGUUCAUCUGGGAGUGCUGGGUUUGCGGACCGUGUUGGCGGAUGAGUGGUGUGUGGGUCUUGAGUGCUGUCUGGCUCCUUGCCUCGCGCAACGAACGGGCGCACCGGAUCCUCUCCAUGUGUGGGCUCGAGCUACCGUGCUCGUUCCACUGUUGUGCGGCUCCUGUGUUUCCUACCCCGUGGUGUGGUAUCCUUGCCUUGCCCCAACCUUUCCUCUCCGGAGUCCCCUAGUGGGAUUGC
rnacentral:lncRNA from 1 species